GGGACGGAUAGGUGUGGGGGGAUGGAUGAAGGGUUGGAAGGAUGGUUGGACACUCUCCAAUCCAUCUCCCCCCAUCUCCCGCAGCCGCUGACCCCUCCCUGGCCCCCCACUCCUUGGGCCGCACCUUCCUGCGCCCUGAUGUGCUGGGGACGCUGGGCACUGGGGGCUUCUUCCUGCUGGGGAGCGUCCUGCUGCUGGGCCACCUCCUGCGGGAGUGGACAAGGAGGCGGAGGAAGUUGAAGGUCUCUCAUCCCCACCCCAGCCUGCCCAGCUCUCAGGAGACCCCCAUGGCUCUGUGGUUGCAGCAGGGGCUGCCGGGGCGGCGCAACUCUUUCUCCGCCCCCUACGUGCUCAUCAACUUGGACUAUUUCACCCCCCAGUCCAGCGCCACAGCCCAUGGGGGGCCUCUGCCCCCCACGGUACCCCCCCGGCCUGGCCGGGACAGAGGGCGGGGCCCGGGGCAGAGCAGGGCCACGCGCUGGGAGCAGGAGCGUGAGGAGCAGUGCCCGGACCUGAUGCUGACUUCCUUCCCCUCGGGAUCUGGCGCCCCCCAAAGCUUGAGGGACCGUCCUGCCUCUGCGAAGACAGGACAUUGUCCACCCCUCGUGUCACGCGCAGGAUCCCAUAGCUGGAGCCGACCUCUCCCGGAGCCACCCGCCCCGGAGCCGUUGUGACAGGAUGGGAAUUUUCUGGAACAUUUUCUGUGAAGUCUGUAUGUGCCUCAGUUUCCCCCGACACACAGCGUUGUGAGAAAAGGCGGCUCACUCUCGGGCUCGACACAACACAGGGGGACUGGCAUCGGGCUGUCCUGGGUCUCUGGAGACAAUGGCAAAGCGAGUGACCGGGACAUUUGGUACCGAGAGACCAUGAACGGCCCCCGCCCACAGGCAGCCAGCCGGGGGGCCCAGCCAGAAAGCCAAGAACCAAGC
rnacentral:lncRNA from 1 species